rnacentral:misc_RNA from 1 species
GAUGAAGAACGUAGCGAAAUGCGAUAAGUAAUGCGAAUUGCAGAAUUCCGUGAGUCAUCGAAUCUUUGAACGCACAUUGCGCCCUCUGGUAUUCCGGAGGGCAUGUCUGUCUGAGCGUCAUUGUCAACCCUCAAGCUCAGCUUGCUGUUGGGUCCCCGUCGUUGCUUUAACGGCGGACCCGAAAGGUAAUGGCAGAGUCCGUGAGACCCUAGACGCAGCGAGCUUCUAGCACGCGUCUGGACGUUUUUCGGGCUCAGUCUUAACUAGAUGAUAACUUCCGAUUGACCUCAGAUCAGGUAGGGAUACCCGCUGAACUUAAGCAUAUCAAUAAGCGGAGGA